UGCCCUAGUAACGGCGAGUGAAGCGGCAACAGCUCAAAUUUGAAAUCUGGCUCUUUUAGAGUCCGAGUUGUAAUUUGCAGAGGGCGCUUUGGCUUUGGCAGCGGUCCAAGUUCCUUGGAACAGGACGUCACAGAGGGUGAGAAUCCCGUACGUGGUCGCUGGCUAUUGCCGUGUAAAGCCCCUUCGACGAGUCGAGUUGUUUGGGAAUGCAGCUCUAAAUGGGAGGUACAUUUCUUCUAAAGCUAAAUAUUGGCCAGAGACCGAUAGCGCACAAGUAGAGUGAUCGAAAGAUGAAAAGCACUUUGGAAAGAGAGUCAAACAGCACGUGAAAUUGUUGAAAGGGAAGCGCUUGCAGCCAGACUUGCUUACAGUUGCUCAUCCGGGUUUCUACCCGGUGCACUCUUCUGUAGGCAGGCCAGCAUCAGUUUGGGCGGUAGGAUAAAGGUCUCUGUCACGUACCUCCUUUCGGGGAGGCCUUAUAGGGGAGACGACAUACUACCAGCCUGGACUGAGGUCCGCGCAUCUGCUAGGAUGCUGGCGUAAUGGCUGUAAGCGGCCCGUCUUGAAACACGGACCAAGGAGUCUAACAUCUAUGCGAGUGUUUGGGUGUCAAGCCCGAGCGCGUAAUGAAAGUGAACGGAGGUGGGAACCCGCAAGGGUGCACCAUCGACCGAUCCUGAUGUCUUCGGAAGGAUUUGAGUAAGAGCAUGGCUGUUGGGACCCGAAAGAUGGUGAACUAUGCUUGAAUAGGGUGAAGCCAGAGGAAACUCUGGUGGAGGCUCGCAGCGGUUCUGACGUGCAAAUCGAUCGUCA
rnacentral:rRNA from 5 species